CAAGGUUGAAAGAUGGUUUCGGCUAUCACUUUAGGAUGGACCCGCGGUGCAUUAGUUAGUUGGUGAGGUAAAGGCUCACCAAGACCGUGAUGCAUAGCCGACCUGAGAGGGUAAUCGGCCACACUGGGACUGAGACACGGCCCAGACUCCUACGUGAGGCAGCAGUAGGGAAUCUUCCACAAUGGACGAAAGUCUGAUGGAGCAACGCCGCGUGAGUGAAGAAGGUUUUCGGAUCGUAAAACUCUGUUGUUGGAGAAGAACGUAUUUGAUAGUAACUGAUCAGGUAGUGACGGUAUCCAACCAGAAAGCCACGGCUAACUACGUGCCAGCAGCCGCGGUAAUACGUAGGUGGCAAGCGUUGUCCGGAUUUAUUGGGCGUAAAGCGAGCGCAGGCGGUUUCUUAAGUCUGAUGUGAAAGCCUUCGGCUCAACCAAAGAAGUGCAUCGGAAACUGGGAAACUUGAGUGCAGAAGAGGACAGUGGAACUCCAUGUGUAGCGGUGAAAUGCGUAGAUAUAUGGAAGAACACCAGUGGCGAAGGCGGCUGUCUGGUCUGUAACUGACGCUGAGGCUCGAAAGCAUGGGUAGCAAACAGGAUUAGAUACCCUGGUAGUCCAUGCCGUAAACGAUGAGUGCUAGGUGUUGGAGGGUUUCCGCCCUUCAGUGCCGCAGCUAACGCAUUAAGCACUCCGCCUGGGGAGUACGACCGCAAGGUUGAAACUCAAAGGAAUUGACGGGGGCCCGCACAAGCGGUGGAGCAUGUGGUUUAAUUCGAAGCAACGCGAAGAACCUUACCAGGUCUUGACAUCCUUUGACCACUCUAGAGAUAGAGCUUUCCCUUCGGGGACAAAGUGACAGGUGGUGCAUGGUUGUCGUCAGCUCGUGUCGUGAGAUGUUGGGUUAAGUCCCGCAACGAGCGCAACCCUUAUUACUAGUUGCCAGCAUUUAGUUGGGCACUCUAGUGAGACUGCCGGUGACAAACUGGAGGAAGGUGGGGACGACGUCAAAUCAUCAUGCCCCUUAUGACCUGGGCUACACACGUGCUACAAUGGAUGGUACAACGAGUCGCGAGACCGCGAGGUUUAGCUAAUCUCUUAAAACCAUUCUCAGUUCGGAUUGUAGGCUGCAACUCGCCUACAUGAAGCCGGAAUCGCUAGUAAUCGCGGAUCAGCAUGCCGCGGUGAAUACGUUCCCGGGCCUUGUACACACCGCCCGUCACACCAUGAGAGUUUGUAACACCCAAAGCCGGUGAGGUAACCUUCGGGAGCCAGCCGUCUAAGGUGGGACAGAUGAUUAGGGUGAAGUCGUAACAAGGUA
rnacentral:rRNA from 1 species